UUGGAGGGCAAGUCUGGUGCCAGCAGCCGCGGUAAUUCCAGCUCCAAUAGCGUAUAUUAAAGUUGUUGCAGUUAAAAAGCUCGUAGUUGAAUUUCGGGAUUAGUACGUUGGUCGUGCCUUCGGUACGUACUGGUGUUACUGAUUCCUACCUUCUGACGAACCAUCAUGUCAUUAAUUUGGUGUGGCGGGGAAUCAGGACUGUUACUUUGAAAAAAUUAGAGUGUUUAAAGCAGGCUCGCGCUUGAAUACAUCAGCAUGGAAUAAUGAAAUAGGACGUUGACCCUAUUUUGUUGGUUUCUAGGAUUGACGUAAUGAUUAAUAGGGAUAGUUGGGGGCAUUAGUAUUCAAUUGUCAGAGGUGAAAUUCUUGGAUUUAUUGAAGACUAACUACUGCGAAAGCAUUUGCCAAGGAUGUUUUCAUUAAUCAAGAACGAAAGUUAGGGGAUCGAAGACGAUCAGAUACCGUCGUAGUCUUAACCAUAAACUAUGCCGACUAGGGAUCGGAUGAUGUUAUUUUUAAUGACUCAUUCGGCGCCUUACGGGAAAC
rnacentral:rRNA from 1 species